UUUAUAUUGAAUGUCAGUUUUGAAGUUUUCAUAUAUAAAAGACUGACAGAAAAGGGAAAUAUUUAAAAAUAUGGAUACAGCUGAAAACAUUUGAUUGUUUGCAAUGUUAAGUUCGUAUGAAGAUGACAUUUACAUUUCAGAAAAAAAUAUCAGUGUAACGUAUAAUUGUUAAAGGAAACUGAAGUCGCUGGUACCGCAGAUAUGUCGAACCGAAAGAGGAGCAACAUGCAACAGGCUAGACCACAGUUGCCUCCUAUUAUCAACGAAGAUGACGGAGAGCUGCCAUUCUUUAAACAGGACUUUUUCUCCGAUGUGGCGCUCAUUGUAAGUACCGACGAACCCACGGAUCAUCAUGGAGCCCGAAAAACUAAAAAUGUGAUAUCUGGAAAGAAACUAUACACUGCUCGCUGUAUUCUGGCGUACAAUUCUCCAGUGUUUGAAAAGAUGAUGGGUAACGCCAAGAAGCACGAAAUUGAUCUGUCAAACAAGAACUUUGACGAUAUAGUGGAAUUAAUGUGCUUCCUCGAUCCCAGGGUUCCCUAUACCGUUACUGCUCAAUCUGCGAAACAAUUGCUGCCUCUAUCUGAAGAGUUCGAGAUGCACAAAUUAAGGAAACAAUGCGAAAAUAUCUUAUAUUCUACCUAUAUAAGCUUACGCAAAAAGCACAGGAUCGGAACCAUUCCUUUUGAAACAAAUGAAGAAUAUCUGUUGCUCGCAGACCGUUACGGAAUGUAUGACCUAAUCCAGAUGUGUGUCGAUGAGUACGUAUCAAACUCAGAUGUUGCUGCUGCUAAGGUAGCAGUCAACUCUGACACAUUAUCUGAAAAGGUGAAACUAUUGAUUCUGAGGAAGAAGUUAGCGAUGCUGAACAGCCAUUUAGAGAAAGAGCGGAGAUACAGAGCAGAGGCAGAAAUGAAAGCGAGUCGCUUACAACCGACAACAAAUUGGAAGAAAUACUGGCAUACAGAUGAAGGACAUGUAGCUCAUCACACGUCUGGAAGAUAAUUGAACACAUAUUGUGACUUAAUAAGAAUAAAUUAAGUGCUGCUUCUGGUUUUAGUGACAGUGAUUUUCGGUCUUGAACUUAGGUUGAAUUCAGACACUGACGAAGUGUUCUUAAGACUUCGUGCAUAACAUGCUUUAUAUUUCUAGUUGACCUUGAAAAGAAGUGUUUACUUAAUACUGUGUGACAUUUACCGUUUAGUUUAUACCUUCGUAGAAUCUUUUUUAUUAAACUGGUGAAGAUUGCAAUUAUAAAGACAAUCCAAAAUAUUCAUUAUUUUACGUAUAUGUCACAUUGAUAAAUAGUCAUAUUUUUGGCGGGUGAGUUUUAGUUCACAAACAUAUUAAAUCAAGGCGUGCGAUUUUAACAAAGAAGUCUGCCAUCAAAUUCUGACAGCUCAGACAGCCAAACAACUACUUCCGCUCGCGGAGGAAUAUGAAAUGUUCAAGUUGCGCCGUAACUGUGCGAAUGUUCUACACACGGCUUACGAACAACUUAGAAAAGAAUACCGGCUUGGACAUAUGCCUU